rnacentral:rRNA from 1 species
UACGGGGGGAGCAAGCGUUGUUCGGAUUUACUGGGCGUAAAGGGCGCGUAGGCGGUCAGCACAAGUCAGUUGUGAAAUCUCCGGGCUUAACUGGGAGAGCGCGUGGGAGACUGGUGCGCUAGAGACUCGGAGAGGGGUGUGGAAUUCCCGGUGGAGUGGUGAAAUGCGUUGAGAUCGGGAGGAACACCAGUGGCGAAGGCGGCACCCUGGCCGAGUUCUGACGCUGAAGUGCGACAGCGUGGGGAGCAAACGGG